GUGACAUCAUUUGGGCAAGGAAAACCCAAAUUUGGUCUGGAUUCAUAACGAUUUUAGCCAGUCACAAGGAGAAGAUAAAACCCCAUUGAUAGUCUUCCAAUUUUUUUGAAAAAAAAAACAGAAUUCAAAGACAGAAUGUGUGCUUCAGAAGCAUUUUAAUUUAUAAACAGCAAUUCCCAUUGACUUUAUUUAUACCAUAAAAAAGGCAAUUUACAAGCAAGAAACAAAUCCAUCAGAACAAAACAAAGCAGCACUGAAAUAUUCAUGUCACAAAAUCUAGAAACAAAACAAAAAACCGAGUACAAGAUUAAAAUAAUCAUUUGAAUAAAUAUUCUAAAAUAUUUCAUGCUAUAAAAUAAUCCUUAAUGGCAAGUUAGUUGCUUUUAACAGCAUCCGCUUUAGCUAGCUUCAUUUACUUCAUAUGGUGAUGAAGUGUGGAGUUUGUGAGGUUACCGGUUUAAUAUUGCAAGGUAUUGACAUUGAGGUUAGUCAUUCAAAGUGUUCAAAUAUUUAUGAGGAAAAACAAAAUCUAUAAAUGGUAGAUGUUUACUUAAUAGUACAAUUUUCUGAUAAAACAAGUGUAGCUAGAUCAUGCAAAUCAGCCAUGAGUUUCUCCUCUAAAUUGAAAGAUGUGUAAACAGGCCUUCAGCAAAGUCCAAAGACUAAUCUCCCAGUAUGCCCAGUGGUUUUCACUCUUUUGACUCUUCAGGGAUUAUUUCCUGCACUGGACUGAUCUGUUAGGGGACUGCUGGAUUCUAAGGCGUGUUCUGGAACAAUGGAAGGCAGAUCAGAACUUACUGGGUGGCUUGCAGUAGACCAGCAAGGGUUUCUUAUUCCUAGCUCUUUGACAGCACCAAAGAGCUCUCACAGCUACUCAAACAAAACUGGUGAGGGGAAGGAAGCAGGAGUGGAUUUUGGUUUGCAAGGACUGGAGCUUAGUUCUGGUACCAAAAUUAAAUUUCUUAGCUUAUGACAUCAGGUGGAUAAUUGGCCUUGUGGGCUAAAUUAGACCCACUGGCUAGCAGUUCCUCACCACUGGCUUAGUAUUUGUUCAGAGGCACCCUACACCUUUAUGUUAAAUAUCUGUCCACCCCACUGAGCCACUGUUUUGUACCUGCUUCUGUUGUGUGUACUUGAGGCUUCUAGGGUAAAGGGGGGGAAGGGGGGGACCAUGCUUGGUGGCUGCAAAGCUCUUCUGGGAUGUAUUCUCAUGUUCAAUCUAAGUGCUCUCCAAACUGCAUGUUGGGCCUUACGUCCUGCAUGAACUGAAAGUUCAGUGUAGCGUGCAAGCAGUACUCCCCUGCUGGCUGCAGUAUUAGGAAUGGCAAGCAUUUUCCCAUGGAAGAGCCCCAAACUUCUAGGGAAUGCAAGGGUUCUCCAGAGCACAGGGUUGUAUUCAAUGUUAGUCAUUUGGGUUAACUGGGGCCCAUUCAUUCCAAUGGAUCUACUCUGAGUAAACCUUUGAAAAUUUUGAAAACCACUGCAGCAUGCUGACAGUAGGACAGCUGUGUCCUGUGUCUUAAAAGCAGAUAUUUAUAAAGGUUAUAACCACAGCCAUGUUACUGACACUUUGCUCCAUAUCUCCAAGUAGGGACACAGAACAACUCUCUCAGACCCAAUUUCCAUUUAGCAUUUAUUAUGUAAGCUUGCAUAACUGAUUUAAUGCACCAUUUUAAGGAUGUCUGAGAGCGCAACAGGCUGUAUAGUUUUAAGUCCUUUAAGGGUAUUUAACUGAAAAAAGAGAUGCAUGACUGCCAAACUCUGAACAUUCUGAAUGACUUCACUGAACUUUGGGUUCAGUUGCUGAGUAUUACUGUUGCUUACAAUUCAUGGAACUAAAUAGACUCAUUCAUAUAUAUAUAUAUACUAUAUAUUAUAUAUAUAAAGGAUUUACACAAUUCCCAAAUACUUUAAAAUAUAUAAAAAUUUAAUAAAUAACCCUGACCAGUCUAAAAGCACCAUUCAAGGGUAAAAUUCCCUUAGAAAAUAGAUUAGGUGUUGCAUAUUUGAGUCCCUUUUCAGUGGCUUCAACAUGAAACCCUUUCAGAUGACAAAAAUAAAACAGAAGUCACAGUAAACUAAAAACAUACAUUUCAAAUAAGAUAGAUUUCAGUCAAGAUAAAGCUCUGUCACACCCUCUUCUCCCAGCCCUUGUUUAAAAAUUCAUGCUAAUCUUAUGUUAACCCAUAACAGUUACAUCAAAACAACUUAAUUCUGACCAGAAAUAAAUGAAAGACUUUCAGAAUAUAUUUAGUUAUUCUGGGAACCUUAAAAGAGACUUGUAAAUAAUCCAAUUUAGGCUAGGAGUGCUCAAUCCCAGAGGUGGUUUAUGUGCACUUUAAUCUCAACCCUGCAUGUAGGUAAUUGGCUCUUUCCUACAUGCAUGGUGUCUGUGCCAUUGUGGGGUGAUGCAUAUGUAAAAAGAACAUUUAUCCAUGGUUAAAAGAAAUUGUGUGUAUGUGUGGACUGCUGGAUUUUGCUCUUGAGAGGAGUGCACAUUAUCCCCUCCCACUUAACUAUGAUUAAAAGCCUUGACUAGCUUUAACCACGCUGAACUAGCCAGGUUAAGAACCAGAUGGAAACCUGGUUAUAGUCUUAUUCAUAAUUAACAUCAAUUCAAACAUUGCUCUUGGCCAGGAUCAAGGUGGUGUGGUGUGGUGAGAUUUUGCUCCUGACCUCUGAACUGUGGCUAAAAAGAGGUUAGGUCUGCAACAACUCUAAAUAAGCAAAACAUGGACAAAUCUGGUAACUUAUUAUGCUGCAAAGCAUAAAUAAAGGGCUGGCUAGAGGCUACUGAAAUUCCACAUGUCUCCCCUUAAGAUGAGCAUCCCUGAUUUCAACUUAAACAGUAAAUUCUGCCAACAGUGAAAGACAGUAUCCUUUCUGCCAUUAAAAGCAUUCACACUUGAAUACAGAACCAACUGUGAGGCGCUGCGUUGCUUUAAAAAAAAAAAAAUCUCACGUAUUUACAAAGCUAUUUUCUGAGUCUUAUUUACAACUUCAAUAGAAAUUAUAUGGAAGAUAAACCAGUUAAGAAAAAAAUAACAGCUGCUUAAAACCACAAAUAUUAGCAAAAAGUAUAAAAUUUAAUUUUGUUUUUCACAGUUUGUAAAUAGGUUAAAACAUCUAGAGGAGAAAAAAAUGACACUGUCACUGUUUUUAUUAUUCUUCACAUUGUCUAUGUAGCUAAAAAGGUAGUUUGAGAGACUCAAUUAUGAACCAGCCUGCAUGAUUUCACAUAUUUUCAACCCAAUAUUUAAUCUUACUGGUUUUCUUGGCUUUUGUGUUCAUUUUAAAUGAAAUACACUAACAGUUGCACACUAAUCAAAACUGUACAGCAAUCAGUACUGCACAGUAUUUUCAGAAUUCACCUAAAAUAAUUCACUGCAUGCUUUUCAUCCUGGUGGACAUAAGAUAUGAAUUUCAAAGGAUAAAAAGAUGGCACCCCAUUACCAUGGAACCAUAAUGUGACAAGGCACGAUUUAGAUGCUGCUGCCUGACUUGAAGCUUUGUCUGCUAGUCUCUUGUGUGUUGCAGCACAUCUACGGCAAAAUCCAAGGAAGACAAAAGCUGCUUCAACACAAAACUUUCUGCCCUACACAGAGGCAAUCCCCAGCCAUUUUACAGACACUGUGCACUAAUGUAGACAACUGAGACAGGGAACUGGGAGGCUACAGGAAGCCAGCAGCUCCUCCAAUCAAACAGCAUUUUGCCAGCUGCUACAAUCUCCGGAGGUACUGCUGAGUGUGGGUAGAAUGCUAAAACAGUAUUCCUAUGUCAAAUUCCUUCAGAAAUGUGUACACACAGUGUGUAAUGUUGUGCUGUAUCUUCACCCAUUGAUGAUGUGGAGGGGAAUGCAUAAUGUGAUGAUGCAUCAACUUAGGAUAGAUGCUGCAUGUGGGGUGGGGUGAAAAUGGGACAUGGGACUACCACUAAAAUAGAAAACUGCACGUCUGCAGUUCUGCACCUCCUAUAAUUGCCUUGUAUGAAUAUUGCAUUGUUUACACAAAUUCACCUACAGAGUGUAUGAGAACACCAUUUACAGUGGUACCUCGGGUUACAGACGCUUCAGGUUACAGACUCUGCUAACCCAGAAAUAGUACCUUGGGUUAAGAACUUUGCUUCAGGAUGAGAACUGAAAUUGUGCGCCGGCGGCGCGGUGGCAGCAGAAGGCCCCAUUAGCUAAAGUGGUGCUUCAGGUUAAGAACAGUUUCAGGUUAAGAACGGACCUCUGGAAUGAAUUAAGUUCUUAACCCGAGGUACCACUGUAUUUGUGUGCUAGAUUUAUAUCCCACCUUUUCACCAAAUGGGUGUUCAAGGUGGCUUGUGUCUUCUGUGAACUGGCCUUUAGGCACAUUUCAAAUUCAGGGAAACAAAUGGAAGAUACGCAAGUUAACUACUCCAGAUUAGAUCUCUAGAGCUGCCUACAUGUCCAGUGAAGCUCUUGAUCUUUACAGUACUAUAUUAUGGCUUGAUAAUUUUGAACCCCAAUAGGCAGCAGGAAGAGGAAAAACAUACCGGCCUUGUUCCUAUGCUACACUGAACAGUGGCUUAGAGCUUUGUGCAAAAUGGGCAGUGCAGUCCCUACUUUCUAUGGUGUGAAGUUGCCUUCUUUAGAAACUGACCAGAGCUUAUUUUAAAUCACCACCAGUGAUUCUGUGAAAGUGAAGCUAAAUGCUGCAUAAGUCUUUUCAGCUGCAUGGAAAUCAGAGGGAGAAGUAUAGGUGCCCAAGGCUUUGUUUGGACUUGCUGCGGCUCAUGCGCACAGCACUAAACCAUGAUUUAGCAUUAUGUGAAUUUGGCCAUCAACAUGAAUGAGUAUAUGGAACUCAAAAAUCUCUCGAAAGUCAGGAGAUUGAUAACUCCUAGGUUUUUAACAGUUCCACCACAACAUUUGAACCUGAAAGCUGUACAAUCAAAAAUAUCCAAAAUUAUGUUAAGUCACUCUUUGGUAAACUCAAACCAGUUCAACCAUGUUUACAGAUUCAAAAACUAUAUUUAAAACAACUUUUAAGAUUGACACAGAGACAAAAGUCAGGGAAAUACAAAAUUAACUGCCUUUCCCCUCUUUCCUUGACUAAUACUACUAUGGCGUAAACCCAAGUGGCUUAAAAGGCACCACAGCACAGGUUCACUGUAAAGGGUUACAUUUUUAACUCUGCAUGUCUGGACUUUUGUUUGAUGGUCUCAAAUGCAAGCAUAUCAAAAGGUAGAAUAAAAUUGAUUUGUAUCUUAAUGUGUUAUAAGAAUGAAUGGACAGACAUGUACCCUCCCUGAAGCAGGCUGGAAAUCCAGAGGCCUUGGAAGAGCAUUUCUCUGCAUGCUUGGGAUGGGUCUGUCACCACUUCCAUUCUACCUGCCCAGCUGCAUCCCUCCCAUUUCAUUUUACACCGCUCUAGCCUCCUGAUCCUCAGAAGUGGAUGGGGGUGGGGUGGGGGCUGUAGUAGGAAGUCAGAAAGCAGGAAAGGCCUGUGUGCACAUAUGGAAUGUGCACUGAAAUUGGCUUUUCUGGGGCUCCAGCCCUUGUUUAUACUAAUAGUAGAAAGGGAAAAGGAGGGAAGUUAGUGUUUCCCUGGGAAAGAAUCUCUUAGGCAGCUAUAGUAGGAAAAGGAUGAUCAUUUUGUCUAACUAAAACUGCAUCUAGAGAACAAACCUGAUUUAUUGUUAACAUUAAUCCUUAUUACUGGCUUUGAUAAACAGUAAAGAAAAGUCCAUUCUAAAAAUACUGCAGAAGUCUAUUCUUUUAAAAUCUCAAACAAAGCUGUAAGCCCUCAAAACCACUGCAAGCAUCCAAGCUUCAUUCUUUUUAAGUGAUUUGGAAAAUGAAAGCUGAUAUGGGGUGCUGGUUACAAAUUGUAUAAAUCACUUGCUCUCCAGCUAAAGUACUUUUUAUGGAACACUUUAUACAGAUCUUCAAAAGCUCCAAACACUGUAUCUAUCAGCCACCCAUAGUAUAACCACGGCUAUUUUCUCAGUGUUUUAAAUCACAGAAUAUAAGUGAAAAAUAGAAGUAGCUCCUGAAGAAUGAGAAUUUUGAAGGAUUAUGACUUCCUAUUAAGAAAACCCAUACACUUUUAUAUGAUUAAAAUUCACAGUUGUGAGAAAUUUAGGGAAUCAUACAAGAAUUAAGAACAGAGGCUCAGAUUCGAAAGUCAACACAUUAAAUUACAAACACACAAAAUCUUGAAGGCAGCAAGAAAUCCACACAUUCUGAAUAUCCUAUCUGGGAGAGGUGUCAACAAAUUUUUGUGCAGCGCUCCCUAUUUUACUCAGUGGGGAAAGAAGCAAACAUCCAAUUUCUUUUAAGAGGGAACAGAAUGCUCCUACAAGUGGGUGAAGAUUUAAAACUCUAAUAAAGAGAAAACGGGUUCCAAUAAUUCCAUAUACAGUACCUGCAGAAGGAUCCUUUUUGAUGGCUACCAGCCAAGUAAGCAUCUCACUGUGCCUCACUGCCCAGGCUUGUUCCAGCAUAAUUUUAAUGCCUCUGUACUGCUCUGCCAGGAAACCUUAAAGCUACAGCAGCACUAGCUUAGGGAAUAUAAGGCAGAAACUGAAGCAGAACCAGGAGAGGAGACAGGUAGGUGGAGGGCGGGGGGUAGGGGUCUCUCUUGUCAUGCAGCUUCUGUCACUAACAGCUUUCUAUCCUGAUGAAUAUAUCUACCAAGAAGUUUCUCAUUCUGCCAAGCAUAAAUAUAUCCAAGUAUAUAUACGUACUAAAAAUAUUAUUCACAAACAUCUGUAUUCUAUUUACUUGAUAAAGAGUUUUCAUACAGCAAUUAUUUGCCAGCUCACACUUUUGUGAGGUGUUUUCAGGCAGAUAA